rnacentral:rRNA from 1 species
UACGAAGGGUGCUAGCGUUGUUCGGAAUCAUUGGGCGUAAAGCGCACGUAGGCGGAUUUUCAAGUCAGGGGUGAAAUCCCGGGGCUCAACCUCGGAAUUGCCUUUGAUACUGUAGGUCUCGAGUCCGGAAGAGGUGGGUGGAAUUCCUAGUGUAGAGGUGAAAUUCGUAGAUAUUGGGAAGAACACCAGUGGCGAAGGCGGCCAUCUGGACCGCAACUGACGCUGAGGCGCGAAAGCGUGGGGAGCAAACAGG